AUUGAACGCUGGCGGUAUGCUUAACACAUGCAAGUCGAACGGUAACGACAGAGAGCUUGUCUCUUUGGGCGACGAGUGGCGGACGGGUGAGUAAUAUAUAGGAACCUUCCCCAUAGUUUAGGAUAAGCACUCGAAAGAGUGUCUAAUACUUGAUAUGGACUACGGUUUAAAGCAGGGGCUUCUUCGGAACCUUGUGCUAUGGGAUGGGCCUAUACAAGAUUAGCUAGUUGGUGGGAUAAAAGCUCACCAAGGCGACGAUCUUUAGCUGGUUUGAGAGGAUGAUCAGCCACACUGGGACUGAGACACGGCCCAGACUCCUACGGGAGGCAGCAGUGGGGAAUAUUGGACAAUGGGGGCAACCCUGAUCCAGCAAUACCGCGUGUGUGAAGAAGGCCCUAGGGUUGUAAAGCACUUUUGUUAGGGAGAAUGGUAAUUAGAGUUAAUACCUUUAGUUGUCUGAUGUUACCUAAAGAAUAAGCACCGGCUAACUCCGUGCCAGCAGCCGCCG
rnacentral:rRNA from 1 species